rnacentral:rRNA from 1 species
UGGGGAAUAUUGGACAAUGGACGCAAGUCUGAUCCAGCAAUGCCGCGUGAGUGAUGAAGGCCUUAGGGUUGUAAAGCUCUUUUACCAGGGAUGAUAAUGACAGUACCUGGAGAAUAAGCUCCGGCUAACUCCGUGCCAGCAGCCGCGGUAAUACGGAGGGAGCUAGCGUUGUUCGGAAUUACUGGGCGUAAAGCGCACGUAGGCGGUUACUCAAGUCAGAGGUGAAAGCCCGGGGCUCAACCCCGGAACUGCCUUUGAAACUAGGUAACUAGAAUCCUGGAGAGGUGAGUGGAAUUCCGAGUGUAGAGGUGAAAUUCGUAGAUAUUCGGAAGAACACCAGUGGCGAAGGCGGCUCACUGGACAGGUAUUGACGCUGAGGUGCGAAAGCGUGGGGAGCAAA